rnacentral:rRNA from 1 species
UGAACGCUGGCGGCGUGCCUAAUACAUGCAAGUCGAGCGAACAGACGAGGAGCUUGCUCCUCUGACGUUAGCGGCGGACGGGUGAGUAACACGUGGAUAACCUACCUAUAAGACUGGGAUAACUUCGGGAAACCGGAGCUAAUACCGGAUAAUAUAUUGAACCGCAUGGUUCAAUAGUGAAAGACGGUUUUGCUGUCACUUAUAGAUGGAUCCGCGCCGCAUUAGCUAGUUGGUAAGGUAACGGCUUACCAAGGCAACGAUGCGUAGCCGACCUGAGAGGGUGAUCGGCCACACUGGAACUGAGACACGGUCCAGACUCCUACGGGAGGCAGCAGUAGGGAAUCUUCCGCAAUGGGCGAAAGCCUGACGGAGCAACGCCGCGUGAGUGAUGAAGGUCUUCGGAUCAUAAAACUCUGUUAUUAGGGAAGAACAAAUGUGUAAGUAACUAUGCACGUCUUGACGGUACCUAAUCAGAAAGCCACGGCUAACUACGUG